rnacentral:rRNA from 1 species
ACGCUGGCGGCAGGCCUAACACAUGCAAGUCGAGCGGUAGAGAGAAGCUUGCUUCUCUUGAGAGCGGCGGACGGGUGAGUAAUGCCUAGGAAUCUGCCUGGUAGUGGGGGAUAACGUUCGGAAACGGACGCUAAUACCGCAUACGUCCUACGGGAGAAAGCAGGGGACCUUCGGGCCUUGCGCUAUCAGAUGAGCCUAGGUCGGAUUAGCUAGUUGGUGAGGUAAUGGCUCACCAAGGCGACGAUCCGUAACUGGUCUGAGAGGAUGAUCAGUCACACUGGAACUGAGACACGGUCCAGACCCCUACGGGAGGCAGCAGUGGGGAAUAUUGGACAAUGGGCGAAAGCCUGAUCCAGCCAUGCCGCGUGUGUGAAGAAGGUCUUCGGAUUGUAAAGCACUUUAAGUUGGGAGGAAGGGCAGUUACCUAAUACGUGAUUGUUUUGACGUUACCGACAGAAUAAGCACCGGCUAACUCUGUGCCAGCAGCCGCGGUAAUACAGAGGGUGCAAGCGUUAAUCGGAAUUACUGGGCGUAAAGCGCGCGUAGGUGGUUUGUUAAGUUGGAUGUGAAAUCCCCGGGCUCAACCUGGGAACUGCAUUCAAAACUGACUGACUAGAGUAUGGUAGAGGGUGGUGGAAUUUCCUGUGUAGCGGUGAAAUGCGUAGAUAUAGGAAGGAACACCAGUGGCGAAGGCGACCACCUGGACUGAUACUGACACUGAGGUGCGAAAGCGUGGGGAGCAAAC